AACUUAAUAUAAGUUCUAGCUGUAAUAAAAACCAUUAUUAUCAAUUAAUUAAUAAAGUUGAUGGUGAAAUAUUAUUAAAAUUAGAAUCAUUAAACGCAGUUUUGAAAUAUUAUAUUAAAAUGAAGAACAGAUCAACACGUCAUAAAUGGAAAGAUACAUUUCAGCUUGCAGAAGGGAAGAAAACGACGAGGAAGUGGAAAUGUAUUUUUAUGAAGCGACACAAAAAUGGAAUCUCAUGAAAUUAACAUAUGACUAUCGCCGUUCUAAAAUAUAAAUGAGAAAAAUUAUCAGAAUUUUGUAAUCGCUCGAUAAGGAACAAUAUAUCAUCGAACGUUUCUAAAAUAUAUAUAGUUAAAAAUUAAAUGAGACAACAAAUUAUCCAGGAAAACUCGGAAUUAUCUACAAAUGACAAUAAGCUUAUCUCUAAAAACAGUGAAAAAGAAAACGAAAAUGGAAAUGUCUACGAUUAUAGAAUCAUCUACUUUUGGAUAAACUGACAAAGGAGAUAAUUUUUGUGACAAAGAAAUAAAAGUAAGGAAGAAAAUACGAAAUUCUAUAGUAAAAGACAACAAAACUGCAACAAGAGACAUAACCUGCAUGUAAAGUAUCGUAAUUAGUUCUACUACAAAUUUGUGGGAAAAUUGAAAUUAGCAGUAAAGGAAGAAACCUUAAAUUAUGAAACAAAGGAAGAAAGUGAACAAGGAGAAAAACAUUUGCCGCGCUUCUCAUGUCCCAUUCUUCGAUUGACUUUUGUUAUGUACAAGUCGAGCCGUUAAAAUUUUGAAGAAAAACGGGCAUUAGGAAACAGGACCUAUGUACGAGAGACUACAGAGAAAUUUUAUAAAAAUAAUAUAUUAAAUAAAAUUUAAGUAGGGUAAAUAAUAAACGUAAAUUGUCGUUUCUCUGUUCACAGAGAAACAUGUUGUUGUUUAUCAUCUCAUCCAAAAUAAUAAAACAUAUUAUAAAACGACAAUUUUUGGUUUAUAAUGGCAAGAAAACUACAAUUCGUAUUUAAAUGUGUGGCAUCACCGAGCGAUAGAAAGACAAAUGUGAUUGCCAUAACCUCUAUCACAUCUGAGGAUAAAAAAAAUAUGUAGCCAGAAAAUGAAAAAUUUGCAAGUAACCACAGCGGACUAACAAAAACAGAAAGCUAUAAAAGAAUGAAAAAAAGGCUCAAUCAAAGAGGCCAAGAAAAAAAAAUAUGGAUUAAAUGCACAUAGGAAAUGGAGAGUACGUAUUUUGAUGAAGAUGACAGUAUAAUGUUUAAUAAUCUAUAUCUAGAAGAAAUAGUGGAAACAAACACAAUAGAACCCACACAGAAGAAAGAAUAUCAAAUAGAUUUAAAGUGUAUAUCAGAAAAAUUCAUGAUUAAAAAAUUUGUAUGUAAACACUCAAAUGCAGACAAGGGAUGGAGUACAAGUAUAUAUGCUAUAUCCUACAGAUAUAAAGAAGGUUCACUAAUGGAAUACGCUAUGAGGAAAGAAAAACUAUUACUGGAUAUGGACAACGAUAUCAGUAUAAAGAUUCUGAUGAUGCUUAUAGCAGCAGGAUUACCAGAAUUCAUAAGAGAUAAAAUAGAUAGAGAAAAUUGUCAAAGCUCAACAGAAUUAUUACAAGAAAUAAAAAAAUUUGAAAAUUUAGUAAGUAAAAACAGUUUUACAAAAAAGAAAGAGGAAAGACAAGAUAAUAAAAAGAAAUUUGAAGAAAAGAUACCAUGUAAGAAUUGUGAAAAACUAAACAAAGGUAUUAGAUAUCAUUCAGAGGACUCCUGUUGGUUCAAGAAGGAAAAUAAAAAGGAAAUCAGAAUUAAUGGAAGAAAUUCGAUGAUAGAAGUGGACCUAUGCAAGGAACAAAAAAACGGAUAACCACACCAUUGAUCAAAGUAAAGAUAGUAUUAGAAGAGAAGUUAGAGGUAAACGGAACAUAUGACCCAGGUUCCCAUGUCUCUCUAAUAAAUUUGAGACUAGUCAAAAUAAAAAAAAAGAGACAGAAGAUAAAAAUAAAAUUUAAAGAUGGUCAAUGAUGUGACAUAAACAAAAGGUUUAGUAACCAUUAAAGUAAAAAUUUUGGUUAAAAAGGAAUAAGUUGAUGUAUUUAUUGUAGAUAGAAAUAACUUUGAAGAUUUCAUUAUUGGGUUAGAUAUGAUAAAGAAAUUCAAACUAAUUCAUGAUGAAAACUUACAGAUAUCUCAAAAGAAAGAAACAUAAGCAAAAAAAAAAAUAUAAAUACAUUGGAUAGAAAUGAAGAAAUAAAAGAAGUUGAAGUAAAUUUUAACGAACAUGUGAAUGAAGACGAAUUUAGAUUGGAUUUGAAUCACUUGGACAAUACAAAAAAAAGGAUAAAAAAACUUAUAGAAAAGUAUAAUUUCAUAUUCGCAAAAAAUAAGUAUGAUGUAGGCACCGUUUCGGACUACGAAACUCGAAUAGGCUUACUGGUUAAUAAAUAUUGCAGUAAGAGGCCAUAUAGAUGCACUAUAGAGGAUAAAAAGGAGAUAGAAAAUCAGGUGGUAAAACUAUUAGAAAAUAAAUUAAUUGAAGAAUCUUAUAGUCCGUUUGCAGCACCAAUAACUCUAACAUUCAAAAGAGAUGAAAACAAACGAUCACGAUUGUGUAUAGAUUUCCGCAAAUUGAACAAGAUAGUUACACCACAAGCUUAACCAUUCUUAUUAAUAGAAGAUUUAAUAAACUAAAAACAAGAAACUGUAAAUACUUCACCUCAUUAGAUAUAAAUUCCGCUUUCCGAUCAAUUCCAUUACAUUUUGAAGGUAAAUAGAAAACAGGAUUCGUUACACAAGAUGGACACUUCCAAUGGACAUGUCUACCGUUCGGACUAAAAACAUCACCAGCUAUUUUCUAAAGAAUAUUAUCAAAUAUUUUAAGAAAGCACAAAUUGAAAGACUUUUCAGAUAAUUACAUAGACGACAUCUUAAUUUUUUCAGAAUCAUUCGAAGAACAUAUAGAACACAUAGAAAGAGUAAUGAAAGCAAUAGUAAAUGAAGGUUUCAGACUAAAAUUUGAAAAAUGUACAUUUGCAACAGAAUAAGUGAAAUAUCUCGGACAUAUUAUAGUAAGACUAGUGAAUAGAAUACAAUAAGACUAGUGAAAGAUAAUCUAAUCUCAAUACAAAAUUUUCCCACACCAAAAACCCAUAAAAAUAUUAGACAGUUUCUCGGAAAAAUAAACUUCUAUCAUGAAUAUAUACCGAAAAGCUCAAUACUGCUAGACCCAUUACAUAAACUAUUAAGAAAACAUGAGAAGUUUAUACCGUCUGAAGAGUGUGAGAAAACUUUUACAAAUAUAAAAAAAUUAUUAUGUUCUCAACCAGUAUUGCAAAUAUUCGAUAAGAAUUUACCUAUGAGAAUUUACACGGAUGCAUCACUAGAAGGCAUUGCUGCUGUAUUUAAGUAGAUACAAAGUGAUUGUAAGAAAAAGCCAGUAGCGUAUUUUUCAAGAAAAUUGAAUGAUUUGCAAAAAAGAAAAAAAAAGCAAUUUACUUUGAAUGCCUGGCAAUCAAGGAAGCGGUAAAGUAUUGGCAACAUUGGUGGAUCGGAAGAAAGUUCACGAUAUUUACAGAUCAUAAACCAUUAGAAAGUAUGAACAGAGAAGUUAGAACGGAUGAAGAACUUGGCAAGUUAACGUACUAUUUGUCACAAUAUGAUUUUCAAAUUAAAUAUAUUCCGGGAAAGAUAACGCUGAAUCAGAUAAUCUAAGUAGAAAUCCAUUACUGGAAUCAUCCGAAAAUACAUAAUAAAUGCUAAAAAUAGUUAAUCUAAUAAAAAUAAAGGAGAUAAAAACAGAUCAAAAAGAUUAUUAUAAACAUCAAGAACGCUCAAAAAUUUUUAACUACAGAUAUUGAUCCAGUGAAAAAAGUAAAGAAAUUCAAAUACGUAGGAGAAAUAAAUCAAGAAAAUGGUUUAGAAAAAUCUGCAGUAGAAGAAAGGUUACGCAAGAUGGAAAUAGCGUAUGGUAUCACUAAGAAUUUUUACAACAAAAAGUGUUUAUCACAAAAUCUUAAAAUAAGUCACUACGCUACAGUAGUGAAACCGGAAUGCUUAUACGCGAGUGAAUGCUUGGCACUAAAUUAUAGAUUAGAUAAACUAGAAGUAGUAGAAAGGAGAAUCAUGAGAAAAAUUUUAAGUCCAAUGAAAACAACAAAAGUAUGGAAAUUAAUAUCUAAUGAUGAAAUAUACAGAAACAUAGAAGGCAUAACAGAAACGAUAAGAAAAAGAAGACUGCAAUUUUUUGGCCAUAUUUACAGAAUGGAUGAGUCCAGACUAACAAAAAGGAUACUCAUGUACCUUUGGGAGAAAAAGGCAACAACUAGCUGGAUUCAAGAGGUAAAGAGAGAUCUAGAAAGAAAUAAUAUAAGUGAGGAAGAAACUAUAGACAGAGAGAUUUUUAGAAAGAGGAUAUUAAACAUGGAAGGAUUCCAAGUAAGAUUGAAGAAAAAACCUGGUGCGAAGUGGUCUGAGGACAGAAAGAAGUAGCAUAGUGAAAAGAUGAAGGAAUAUUGGAGGGAACGGAAAAGAAAACAGCUAAGUGUGAAGAAUUGAAAUUGGCACGUAGUCCCUAGCAGGUCUCAUCAAAAGAAGAAAAAGAUCAAAAAGAGAAUAGAACACUGCAGAAAACUAAAACAAAAUUAAUAGAAAAAGAUGGAGUGUUCUAUAAAAAAAAAAUUAGAAAUAAAGAAAAGAUAAUUUUAUUUGAAGAAUUAAGUUUAAAAUUAAUUAACACUAGAACUAACAACCGAUCAAAAUGACCAAUUAUAUUAAUUGUUCACAAGAUUUUGUCUUGAAAUUUUAUUUAAUAUUUUAUAAUAAUGUUAUGAUUUUUACUAAAUUCAUGUAUUUAAUGUUUCUGUGUGAUACUUUUUUAUUUUCUUAUUGGUAACUAUUGUAUACAGUUGAAAUACUUACAUUCAGUACAGUAUUCAAUCAUUUAUUUAUUGGCAGCUGUUAUAUACGGUUGAAAUACUUUCAAUAUUGUGGACAAUUCUGCUGAAUAUAUUUCUUUCAAUUUAUAGUUAUCGUAGCUUGAAAUGUAAGUAAAUUGUGAAUAUUUUUAUUAUAAUAAGGGAAAAUAUAUUUAGAAUAUUUUUAUCCAGAAACUUUACCUUAAAAAUGCCGAGACGUCCGAAAAUACCUAAAAUUUUAGAGAACAUAACAAAUAUAAGAGAAGACUUGAUAUCGACCAAGGUGAUUUUGACCCUGAGAUUGGACCAGCAGAUAUUUCAGAGAAUCAAUCAGAAGAAGAAGUGUGUUUCCUCAGACGGCAAUAAUGAAGAAGAGAACAUCCUGAAUGUACAUAGAUCAAGAAGACUUUUGAGAUUGUCGUCAUCUUCGGAUCAGAAUGACCGUCAACAAACUGAAAUUGCUCCUGAUGGAACUAUCUGGACAAAAAUAAAAGCUAGAUCCACUCCAGGAAGGAGAUCAAUAAAUAGCAUUUUCAAAGCAGUAAUUGGACCCACAGCAUAUACAAAACGAAGCAUAAUGAAGGCCACUGUAAGUAGUGCUUUUUUUUUUUUUUAUAAUUAAUCGACGAAUGAUGGAUUAUAUUAGAACAUGCAUAAAACUAGAAGCUUUUAGAGUUCUUGGUGAAAAAUGGAAUCUAUCUUAAGAAAAAUUUUCUUGCAAUUUUAUAUGCACGUGAUGCUUAUAAAGCUAAGAAUUUGAAAUUAUCUUAUUUAUGGUUUAAAAAGUGGGGACCAGCGUUUUUUUCGAAAACUAUGAGUAGAAAGGAGUUUACGGAUAUUUUAAAAUUUAACCACCUCGAUAAGAGAAAUGAACGGAGUGUACGAUUGCAAACGGAUAAAUUUGCAUUGAUUUCAAAUGUUUGAUAUUCAUUCAUUGAAAAUAGCCAGAAUUGUUACGUACCAGGAGAAAAUAUUACAGUCGACGAACAACUAUUUCCAAACAAAGCGAGAUGCCGAUUCAUGCAGUAUAUGCCGAACAAACCCGAUAAGUUCGGAAUAAAAUUUUGCUUGGCAUCUGAUCUCCAAAGUAAAUUUAUAAUAAAUGGGUUCCCGUAUUUGGGAAAGGACGAAACAAGACAGUCAUCAAUUUUUUUCAAGAUCCAUCUGAACUGGAAAACUCGAAUGAGCUCUUGAAGAGCCCCGAGAGUUCUAAUAUACGAAAAACUUGCCAAAUAGAUUUUUGUAAUGAAAAUAAAACUAUGACUAUAUGUGCUGGCUGUAAAAAACAUGUUUGUGGUAAAUGUACAUUGAAAAAAAUUUCUUUAUGCAAAAAUUGUGGUGAUCCAAAUAAUAACUAAACCUAAAUAAAAAACAAAUAAUAGUACUACCUUUUAUGUAAAUAGAUGUAUAUAUCAUGUACUUGCAAUAUUUGAAUGAAAUAUAUUUUAUUUUCUUUAAAACUUUUCUUUGAAUUUUUAUAUUUUGCCAACUAAAUAUCAGGCUGGACAAAAUGAACGGUUUGGUAGAAAUAGGUAUAUAACAACUGUUAGUAGUUCUAGUGUUAAAGAAAUACACUCUGAAUGGUGUCAUAUAGGGAUCAAACAAAUGAUAAACACGAUAUCUCCUUAUUAUACAGCUAAAGGUAUAACUGCAAACAUAAAAAAAAUUUGCCAGAAUUGUGAAAUAUGUAUUAAGAACAAAUUCAGAGGGCAAGGAAAAUAUGGACUGAUGUCACAAUUAGGACCAACAACAAAACCAUUUAAAAUAAUGUCAAUAGAUACCAUCGGAGACUUUGGAGGACAAAGAUCGAUAAAAAGAUAUCUCCACCUGCUGGUGGACCAUUUUACAAGAUACGCAUUUAUGGUAACAUCAAAAACCCAGAGUGCAAUGGAUUUCAUCAAGCUGAUAAAUAAAGUGCUAGAAACAGACAGAAUAUGACUAAUACUCGCAGAUCAAUACCCGGGAAUAAACUCAAGAGAAUUUAAGGAAUUCCUAAUAAUGACAAUAAACUAAUUUUUACGGCUAUCAACAUGCCCUUCUCCAACGGUCUGAACGAGAGAUUGAAUCAAACAAAAUAAGAUGCAGGAUAAAUGAGAAAGAAAAAAAAAAGCUUGGACAACGAUCGCUAAAGAAUGUUUGGAUAAAUAUAAUGAAACAGAGCAUAGAGUAACCGGCUUUACACCUAAGUAUUUGUUAGAUGGCACAAAUACCAGCAUUUUACCCGAAGAAAUAAAAAGAAGAAACAGUAAAGAAAAUUGGAUAAGAGAUAAAGAACUAGCUCUAGAAAGAACAAAAAAAUCACUCAAAUAUAACAAAAAGAUAUUUAACAAGAAUAGAAAGAAUCACCAGUUUAACACAGGAGAUCUGGUGUAUAUAAAAGAUGGCAAUAGGUUGAAUAGAAGGAAAUUAGACGAAUUGAGAAUUGGUUCUUUCCAAAUGGUAAAAAAAUAUCAGAAUCAAUAUACAAAAUAGAAACAGGAAAACGAAAACAAAAAACUGGAUUCUUUCACAUAACAAAAUUACUUCCAAUAUCAGAAGAUGGAGACGAGGACUAAAAAUUGUAGGAAUUUUAUCCUGGGCGGGGUGGAGAGAUGUAAAGAAAGUAUACUUUCUUGAUUUAGAUUUGCCGCGCUUCUUAUAUCCCGUCCUUCGAUUGACUUUUGUUAUUUGCAAGUCGAGCCGUUAAGAUUUUGAAGAAAAAUGGGCAUUAGAAAAUAGGACCUAUUUAUGAGAGAUUACAGAGAAAUUUUAUAAAGAUAAUAUAUUAAAUAAAAUUGUUCACAGGCUUAGUAAACAUCUUCAGUUAUAUGCACUUGCACCUCUGCUGACACGCUUUUCCAAAUUACGAUAAAUUCAUGAUACUGAUGUGAUAUUGCCACAUCUUGAUAUAUCUCAUACUUUUCCUCUGUGUUUCCACUGUGCAAUUGCUUCUUUUAAAGGAAUAGUGUUUUAUCGCUGAAGAAGAAGAAGAAGGAAAGGGCAGUCAGUUUUAAUUCAGUAGUCAACAAUCUUAAUUAAAGAAUGUCUGAAAUGAAUCUUUCCAGUCGGUUCAUAACUCUAUAAAUCUAUUAAUAUAUACAUAUUUGUGUCAUAUUUAAUCAAUUUUUACUCUUUAAAUUUUAUUAAUUGUUAACGAUUGACCUACACUAUUUCUUAUAAAUAUGUAGGAAGAGAAAUAAACUAUGAGAAUGUUUGGAUUGUCAGAAAAUAAGCGUAAAUAAUUUUUUAUUACAAACCUACAGGUAAUUUCUUUUAUUUUAUAGUAUUUCAUAUUA